CUACUUAGGGAAUGGGGUUGCAAAUGGGGACCUGGUCUAAAGUAGUGCACUACUUAGGGAAUAGGGUUCAAAUAGGACCUGGUCUAAAGUAGUGCACUACUUAGGGAAUAGGGUUCAAAUAGGACCUGGUCUAAAGUGGUGCACUACUUAGGGAAUGGGGUUGCCAUAGGGUCCUGGUCUAAAGUAGUGCACUACUUAGGGAAUGGGGUUGCCAUGGGGUCCUGGUCUAAAGUAGUGCACUACUUAGGGAAUGGGGUUGCCAUAGGGGUCCUGGUCUAAAGUAGUGCACUACUUAGGGAAUGGGGUUGCCAUGGGGUCCUGGUCUACUUAGGGAAUGGGGUUGCCAUGGGGUCCUGGUCUACUUAGGGAAUGGGGUUGCCAUGGGGUCCUGGUCUACUUAGGGAAUGGGGUUGCCAUGGGGUCCUGGUCUACUUAGGGAAUGGGGUUGCCAUGGGGUCCUGGUCUACUUAGGGAAUGGGGUUGCCAUGGGGUGCCUGGGGUCCUGGUCUACUUAGGGAAUGGGGUUGCCAUGGGGUCCUGGUCUACUUAGGGAAUGGGGUUGCCAUGGGGUCCUGGUCUACUUAGGGAAUGGGGUUGCCAUGGGGUCCUGGUCUACUUAGGGAAUGGGGUUCCCAUGGGGUCCUGGUCUACUUAGGGAAUGGGGUUCCAUUAGCUGGAGUUUUUUUGUUUUGUUUCUGCCGUCAGAGCUUUUUAAAAUAGUUUUUUCAUGGGAUUUUUUUGUUUUGUGUUUUGUCAGUGCUGUCUUGUCUCUCCUCCCUGUGUUUCGGGUUAGGGUUGGACCCAGAGGUAACAUCACUCUGGCUUUACGUCUCAAAUCACACCCUAAUCCUUAGGGUGCACUACUUAGGGAAUGGGGUUGCCAUGGGGGUCCUGGUCUAAAGUGGUGCACUACUUAGGGAAUGGGGUUGCCAUGGGGGUCCUGGUCUAAAGUGGUGCACUACUUAGGGAAUGGGGUGUAAUUGGGGACGUACUGUGUACACUGGCCGGUUGUGGCUGUUUUUUUUUUAACUUUCUGUAAGGCAAAAAAAAAAGAAAACGUACAAAAAAUUGACUUUGUAAAUAAAAUCUUAACAUUUUG